GCCUGCCUCAGCCUCCAAAAGUGCUGGGAUUACAGGCAUGAGCCACUGCGCCCGGCCAUUCUGUGCCUUUUUGAUGCACAGUCCUUUCUUAGUUU
rnacentral:miRNA from 1 species